rnacentral:rRNA from 1 species
UACAGAGGGUGCAAGCGUUGUUCGGAAUUAUUGGGCGUAAAGGGCGCGUAGGCGGUGCGGUAAGUCUCUAGUGAAAUCUCCGGGCUCAACUCGGAGCCUGCUAGGGAAACUGCCGUGCUUGAGUGUGGGAGAGGUGAGUGGAAUUCCCGGUGUAGCGGUGAAAUGCGUAGAGAUCCGGAGGAACCCCAGAGGCGAAGGCGGCGUCCUGGCUCGCAUCUGACGCUCAGACACGACAGCAUGGGGAGCGAACGGG